UUCAGCUUCUAGGUUUUUCUCUCUUGUUCUCUCUUGUCUAUGAAGUAACCCUGUAUUCCCACAAGGGUUCUUGGAAUUGACCUUCCUCCCAAGAUAAAGGGAUUAAGCUACUGAAGAGAUACAAAUUAAGAGGCUAAACUAACAAGGAAAUCAAGAUAAGUAAUCUAAAAGGCGGGAAGUCAAAUCGGGAUAGUUUCAGAG